UUUAUUUUAUUGCUGAGAACAUGAACAUCAGUGUACAGUGAUAUAACCAUACAGAACAAAACAUCAAAUAAAUAUUACUAAUAGUACAAAGAAAGAGUUUUGGUAGGCUGUGGUGAGGUACGAUGACGUCAGCGCGCCCAUGCGUUUGAACGCGCGUAUCUCUGCAGAAGGUCAGUCAUGGAGGCUCUGACUCAGGCUCUGUCCUCCAGCUUCUCUGUGUCCAGAGGGCCAAACAGCACAUCUGCUCCUCACUCAUGCCUGGCCCAGUACAAGAGCAAAUACAGUGUUCUGGAGCAGAGUGAAUGCUGCAGGAGGUGCAUGGAGCUUCAGAAAGAGUGACAUAAAGAGGCUGAACUUUGUAAAUCAUGCACGUCAGCUGGCGGAUGGAGACUGGACUAGAGCAGACAGUGAGGAUGAAGAGGACAAAGAGCCAGCUACAGCUGAAGAACAGCACAGAGGAGGAGGGAUGGAGAUCGAGCAGAGAAAGAAGUUGCCGAAGCAUUACGCCAACCAGCUGUUGUCAGAUUGGCUGGUGGAUGUUCCUGUUGAUCUGAGUUCUGAUUGGCUGAUGGUGGUUUGUCCUGUUGGGAAUGCUCCCUCGUCGUUGCCUCCCAAGGGAUCCACAUAAUCUAACACUAAAAGCGGCUGUGACAAUCGAUUUCCUUCUCUUCUCCCUGGUGGCAAUAGACACAACUCAGCCUUGGGAAAAGGUCUGCACCUCACCUGUCCUGCAGUAUUAUCACACUAGAGUGUGCUAGAGUGCUAAUGUUUCCUGUUCUGAGCCAUGUGAUAAAGAUGUUUUAUAUAGAUUACACAAUUCUGGACUGCAUCUACAGUGAAGUGGACAGAACAUACUACAUCCUGGACAUCAUGUGUUGGAGGGGACAUCCUGUAUAUGACUGUUCUACAGUGUUUAGAUUCUGCUGGCUGCAGUCUAAAGUGGAAGAGGUUGAAGGUCUUUCUGAAAUUUCUAAGAUUAAUCUUGUGGACGGCCUUCAUUUUCUACCACAAAGAAACCCACUAAACCCAAGGCAGCACUCCACUGGUGGGCUGGCUCAGACCCUACAUGGUUGCAGAUGUCUUGGGCAUAGAGGUACCACAGUGCCCCAUCACCAACAAGCCUGAUUAUGCCAGUCACCAACUUCAACAGACCCUAGAGCACAAGAAAACAAGAUGAACUGGAACACCUCUCCACACCAGACACACAGCAAGAGAACUCUCACACCAGUCAGAAAGAAGGCAUGGAGGUCUGAGAUUUGGGAAAAGACUGCAUGAGCUAAUACUUUUAGAGAGCAUGUUUUCUCAAGUCUGUGCACCAUUGAAGAAAUCUAGAUUCAGUCUAGCACUUGAUAGUGUUUGAGCUUGAGGACGCUGCAUUGAUUUUGGGAUAAUUCAGGCAUGAAGAUAAUCACUAGAAUAAUCUUAUUUCAAGAGGACAGUGAUGUGGAUGAAUUGGGUUUUUAAUUGCUACAUUAUCAAAUUACAAUUUAGUUAUCUCAGAGGGGCCUAUUUCUGUAACCAUAUUCACAAAAAUGUAACUAUUGUGCUUUUUUGGCACAUUAUUUUAGUACAUUUACAGCUAUUAUCAGUAGUAAACUCUUGUUCUCUUUUCAAGGGAUAGUUCACCCAAAAAUUAAAAUUCUCUUGUCAUUUACUCAGCCUCAUGCCAUCAUCACUGAUGCGUAUGACUUUUUCUUCUGCUGAUCACAAAUGAAGAUUUUUAGAAGAAUAUCUCAGCUCUGUAGGUCCAUACAGUGCAAGUGAAUGGUGAUCAGAACUUUGAAUCUCCAAAAAGCACAUAAAGGCAGCAUAAAAGUAAUCCAUAAAACUCCAGUGGUUUAAUCCAAAAAUGUCUUCUCAAGCGACCAAAUUGGUUUUGAAUGAGAACAGACCAGAAAUAUAACUCCUUUUUCACUGUACACCUUGUCAUUGCAGUAUUUAGGCACGAUCAUUAUUUCAAGCUUGAUUACACUUCCUAGUGCCAU